rnacentral:rRNA from 1 species
AACGAACGCUGGUGGUAUGCUUAACACAUGCAAGUCGAACGAACUCUUGGUGCUUGCACCAAGUAAGUUAGUGGCAAACGGGUGAGUAAUACAUAGGAAUCUACCUAGCAGUAUGGAAUAACCUUAGGAAACCAAGGCUAAUACCAUAUAUUACCUUUUAUUAGGGAAAGAUUUAUCGCUGUUAGAUGAGCCUGUGCCCCAUUAGCUUGUUGGUAGGGUAAUGGCCUACCAAGGCAAUGAUGGGUAGCUGGUCUGAGAGGAUGAUCAGCCACACUGGGACUGAGACACGGCCCAG